rnacentral:rRNA from 1 species
AGGUAUCGGAUUACUGGGCGUAAGCGCGCGUAGGCGGCUAAUUAAGUCAAAUGUGAAAUCCCCGAGCUUAACUUGGGAAUUGCAUUCGAUACUGGUUAGCUAGAGUGUGGGAGAGGAUGGUAGAAUUCCAGGUGUAGCGGUGAAAUGCGUAGAGAUCUGGAGGAAUACCGAUGGCGAAGGCAGCCAUCUGGCCUAACACUGACGCUGAGGUGCGAAAGCAUGGGGAGCAAACAGGAUUAGAUACCCUGGUAGUCCAUGCCGUAAACGAUGUCUACUAGCCGUUGGGGCCUUUGAGGCUUUAGUGGCGCAGCUAACGCGAUAAGUAGACCGCCUGGGGAGUACGGUCGCAAGACUAAAACUCAAAUGAAUUGACGGGGGCCCGCACAAGCGGUGGAGCAUGUGGUUUAAUUCGAUGCAACGCGAAGAACCUUACCUGGCCUUGACAUAGUAAGAACUUUCCAGAGAUGGAUUGGUGCCUUCGGGAACUUACAUACAGGUGC